rnacentral:rRNA from 1 species
UACGUAGGUGACAAGCGUUGGUCCGGAUUUACUGGGCGUAAAGAGCGCGCAGGCGGUCGUUCAAGUCGAGUGUGAAAGCCCCCGGCUCAACUGGGGAGGGUCAUUCGAUACUGAUCGACUCGAAGGCAGGAGAGGGAAGUGGAAUUCCCGGUGUAGUGGUGAAAUGCGUAGAUAUCGGGAGGAACACCAGUGGCGAAGGCGACUUCCUGGCCUGUUCUUGACGCUGAGGCGCGAAAGCUAGGGGAGCAAACGGG